CCUACGGGUGGCAGCAGUGAGGAAUAUUGGUCAAUGGACGCAAGUCUGAACCAGCCAUGCCGCGUGCGGGAUGAAGGUUCUAUGAAUUGUAAACUGCUUUUGUAAGAGGGUAAACACUGAUACGUGUACCGGGGUGAAUGUAUCGUACGAAUAAGGAUCGGCUAACUCCGUGCCAGCAGCCGCGGUAAUACGGAGGAUGCGAGCGUUAUCCGGAUUUAUUGGGGUUAAAGGGUGCGUAGGCGGUUUGAUAAGUCAUGGGUGAAAUGUCGGGGCUCAACCCCGAAACUGCCUCUAAUACUGUUAGACUAGAGUAUGGGAGCGGUAGGCGGAAUGUAAGGUGUAGCGGUGAAAUGCUUAGAUAUCGUACAGAACACCGAUUGCGAAGGCAGCUUGCCGACCCAUAUCUGACGUUGAGGCACGAAAGCGUGGGUAGCAAACAGGAUUAGAUACCCCUGUAGUC
rnacentral:rRNA from 1 species